AGUGGACGCUGGCGGUAGGCCUAACACAUGCAAGUCGAACGGCAGCACAGUAAGAGCUUGCUCUUACGGGUGGCGAGUGGCGGACGGGUGAGGAAUACAUCGGAAUCUACUUUUUCGUGGGGGAUAACGUAGGGAAACUUACGCUAAUACCGCAUACGACCUACGGGUGAAAGCAGGGGAUCUUCGGACCUUGCGCGAUUGAAUGAGCCGAUGUCGGAUUAGCUAGUUGGCGGGGUAAAGGCCCACCAAGGCGACGAUCCGUAGCUGGUCUGAGAGGAUGAUCGGCCACACUGGAACUGAGACACGGUCCAGACUCCUACGGGAGGCAGCAGUGGGGAAUAUUGGACAAUGGGCGCAAGCCUGAUCCAGCCAUACCGCGUGGGUGAAGAAGGCCUUCGGGUUGUAAAGCCCUUUUGUUGGGAAAGAAAAGCAGCAGGUUAAUACCCCGCUGUUCUGACGGUACCCAAAGAAUAAGCACCGGCUAACUUCGUG
rnacentral:rRNA from 1 species